rnacentral:rRNA from 1 species
GCACCUACGGGAGGCAGCAGCCGCGGUAAUACGUAGGGGGCAAGCGUUAUCCGGAUUUACUGGGUGUAAAGGGAGCGUAGACGGCUGUGCAAGCCAGAUGUGAAAGCCCGGGGCUCAACCCCGGGACUGCAUUUGGAACUGUGUGGCUGGAGUGUCGGAGAGGCAGGCGGAAUUCCUAGUGUAGCGGUGAAAUACGUAGAUAUUAGGAGGAACACCAGUGGCGAAGGCGGCCUGCUGGACGAUGACUGACGUUGAGGCUCGAAAGCGGGGGGGGCAAAACGGAUUAGAUACCCCUGUAGUC